rnacentral:rRNA from 1 species
GAUGAACGCUGGCGGCGUGCCCAACACAUGCAAGUGGAGCGACGAACCUGGCUUCGGCCAGGGGCAAAGCCGCGAACGGGUGAGUAACACGUGGAUUAUCUGCCCCAAUGACCGGGACAACCCGAGGAAACUCGAGCUAAUACCGGAUGUGCUCUUCGGGGGAAAGGAAGCCUCGGCCUCCGCAUUGGGAUGAGUCCGCGGCGCAUUAGCUAGUUGGUGGGGUAAUGGCCUACCAAGGCGACGAUGCGUAGCUGGUCUGAGAGGACGAUCAGCCACACUGGAACUGAGGCACGGUCCAGACUCCUACGGGGGGCAGCAGUGGGGAAUCUUGCGCAAUGCACGAAAGUGUGACGCAGCAACGCCGCGGGCGGGAAGAAGGUCUUCGGAUCGUAAACCGCUUUCAGUUGGGACGAGGGUCAGCAGGUGAAUAGCCUGUCUGACUGACGGUACCUUCAGAAGAAGCCCCGGCUAACUACGUGCCAGCAGCCGCCGUAACAC